rnacentral:tRNA from 1 species
CAGGGGGUAGUUUAAUUUAGAAAUAUUAGCUUUGGGAGUUGAAGGUGAGAUGUAGUAUCUCCCCCCUGA